CCUACGGGAGGCAGCAGUGGGGAAUAUUGCACAAUGGGGGAAACCCUGAUGCAGCGACGCCGCGUGAGUGAAGAAGCGUUUCGGCGCGUAAAGCUCUGUCAGCGGGGAAGAAACACGGUUCGCGAGAGCCGCGGACGGUACCCGACCAAGAAGCCCCGGCUCACUACGGGCCAGAAGCCGCGGUAAUACGCAGGGGGCAAGCGUUUUCCGGAUUCACUGGGUGUAAAGGGAGCGUAGACGGCGAGACAAGGCUGGAGUGAAAGGCCGGGGGCCAACCCCGGGACUGCUGUGGAAACUGGCUGGCUGGAGUACAGGAGAGGUAAGUGGAAUUCGGAGUGUAGCGGUGAAAUGCGUAGAUAUUAGGAGGAACUCCAGUGGCGAAGGCGGCUUACUGGACGGUAACUGACGUUGAGGCUCGAAAGCGUGGGGAGCAAACAGGAUUAGAUACCCUGGUAGUC
rnacentral:rRNA from 1 species